ensembl:lncRNA
UGACUGCAUCUGCCUCUCAGAUAUUCCUUCCGUAUAACUAUGGUUUACUAAUUGGCCAUAAUUCAGAGUAAAGAGACAUUUGGGAGGGAGAACAAAAAGGAUGAAGAGGUCAGAGAUGGGAAGAAGAAGCUGGACAUCUGUCUUGGCAUAAAAGAAAAGAAGAAAUAAUGUGGUUCUUGGGAAAAUACCCUGGGCAGAUGGCUUUAGUUCUUUUGUUCUCUAGGUUCACCGAGCUCUUGGAGAAGUUGCUGAACAUCCUAAAGACCUUUGAGCAAACGCAGAAGAUGGCACAAGAUCCCUUUGGGCAGAAGGUGGAAGGUUGAAACUGUCCUCCUUAGAGGAGAAACUUCUCAAGACACCAUCAGAAGGAUCAAAUCUUAACCCUGUGUUUCUAGAAACUGGAUGCCUGUGGUCCACUUUGGUAGAGGGAGAAUGUCGACUAUUUCUCCCCAGAGUUGACAUGUGAAAUAAAUCUACUUGGGUAGAUGGGG